rnacentral:rRNA from 1 species
GUACACGCCCUAAACGAUGUCAACUGGGUGUUGGGGAAGCGAUUCCUCAGUACCGUAGCUAACGCGUGAAGUUGACCGCCUGGGGAGUACGGCCGCAAGGUUAAACUCAAAGGAAUUGACGGGGACCCGCACAAGCGGUGGAUGAUGUGGAUUAAUUCGAUGCAACGCGAACAACCUUACCUACCCUUGACAUGUCCGGAACCCCACUGAGAGGUGGGGUGCCCGAAAGGGAAUCGGAACACAGGUGCUGCAUGGCUGUCGU